CUGAAAUCUUGUCACUCUUACAAGUUGUGGCCCAUGUUCUGAAUAGAACAGGGGGAUCCUGAGAAGCCACUUGAGACAGAGCCAAGAGUUACCUCCUAUCUGCCACCACCUUCUCCCAACUCUCACGGAAACUUGUUGCCCUGCUCUGUGAUGCUCCCUCCCACUGAAAAUUUUCCAGUUCAAGCACUGCUUCAUUCUUCUGGAAAUAUUGACCAACGCUCCUUUUUUCCCAGCAG